rnacentral:SRP_RNA from 1 species
GCUGGGCAUGGUGGCGCAUGCCUGUAAUCCCAGGUACUCGGGAGGCUGAGGCAGGAGAAUCGCUUGAACCUGGGAGGCGGAGGUUGCAGUGAGCCGAGAUCGCGCCACUGCACUCCAGCCUGGGUGACAGAGCAAGACUCCGUCUCAA